ensembl:processed_transcript A430108G06Rik RIKEN cDNA A430108G06 gene
CGCGUCCAUCUCCAUGGACGCUAGACUGGGGCAACGCCUGCGGGGUGCUGCCAUCGCUCUGCUCUGUAAAGCUGGUUCAUGUUGAGGCCACCAGGACAUCUGACCCGCUCAGACUGCCAGGAGCUUCCGGCGCUGGCAGUGUCCCAAAUAUUGAAAACAACAGUGGACAAUAGCGUACCAGAUUCUGAUGACUCCUUAUUUUAUGAGGAAUAUCAGGGGUUGGGUUCUGUUUAUCUCUACUAUCUGUCUGCACCAAAAGUUUGAAUGAACAGGACCCUGAUCCAGCCAUAUGAGGAGAGAGCGGAGACCAAGGAGACCAACAGGCCAGGAAGAUGUCUCUAUUCUAAAUGAGUCUUGAAGUGGAAAGUUCUGGUUUCCUUGGAAAGUUAUGCCAAGCAAUGUUUUGCUGGGGCACAAAGGUGAAAGGAUGUCUUGCUAAAGCAAACACGUGAAAGACUGUUUUCCUGAAGCAGACACAGGUGAAAGGGUGUUUGGAUAGAGCAAACUCAUGAAAGGACCUGUGAUGAAGGAGUAGAAACAUGACCCCGCUGACAGUGGGAGACGAGCACAGAGCACUGGUUUGAUUUGCUCCACCUCAAUAUUCUUCUCUAACAACAUUCAUGUAUUGGUUCGCCUUACAUUGAGCUCAACUCUGAUACUGAGAGAAACUCAACAAAGAAACUGCUCAUAAGGUUCCUAUGGUAGCUUGCUGCGUCUAAGGCCUCUCCUCAGGCCGGUUGACAAGCCUGGCAACUUCUCCAGGAUUGAACUACAGUUGCUGGUUCGUGAUUGGUGUCUGCCUGCCAAGAGGACUGGAAUGUAGUUGUUGGUUCAUGGUUGGUGUCUGCCUGCCUAGAGGACUGGUCUGAAGCUGCUGAGUUGUAUUUGGUAUUUGCUAUGGGACUGAUCUGCUGACCAAGAAGAUCAAGCUCACCUCCAAAGAACUAUCGUUGAACAGGUCCACUUCCCUCCAUCCUAAUAACGUGUCUCUUCCACUCCCUCUGCUGAGUGGUAGGCUAGAGGAGAGGUUGAACCCUUCUUAAAAGUAGGUUGCAAAAAAUUUAUGCUACAGAAUUCAUGUUCCUAGUUAUGCCUAUUUUACCUUGUAAGAUCCUGCAUUUGAAUGUAUGUUACAUUACAUCAUACUAUACUACACAGAGCUAUAUAGGCCACCACGAGCCUCUUGAGGCUAGACACUUUAAGAUGGUUUUUCCUCUUUGUGUUACUUCUCUGAGAUAGUAUUUGAAUGUUUGCUGAAAGACUGAAAUGAAUCCGUUUCGAGUAUAUUGCUUUAUGUUCAAAUGCCUUCCACUGAUGUAAAGGUUUUUGGUUGUGUAAAAAAAUCAAAUUAUUAAUACU